rnacentral:rRNA from 1 species
CCUACGGGAGGCAGCAGUAGGGAAUCUUCCGCAAUGGACGAAAGUCUGACGGAGCAACGCCGCGUGAACGAUGAAGGCCUUCGGGUCGUAAAGUUCUGUUGUUAGGGAAGAACAAGUGCUAGUUAAAUAAGCUGGCACCUUGACGGUACCUAACCAGAAAGCCACGGCUAACUACGUGCCAGCAGCCGCGGUAAUACGUAGGUGGCAAGCGUUGUCCGGAAUUAUUGGGCGUAAAGCGCGCGCAGGCGGUUUCUUAAGUCUGAUGUGAAAGCCCCCGGCUCAACCGGGGAGGGUCAUUGGAAACUGGGAAACUUGAGUGCAGAAGAGGAAAGUGGAAUUCCAAGUGUAGCGGUGAAAUGCGUAGAGAUUUGGAGGAACACCAGUGGCGAAGGCGACUUUCUGGUCUGUAACUGACGCUGAGGCGCGAAAGCGUGUGGAGCAAACAGGAUUAGAUACCCUGGUAGUCCACGCUGUAAACGAUGAGUGCUAAGUGUUAGAGGGUUUCCGCCCUUUAGUGCUGAAGUUAACGCAUUAAGCACUCCGCCUGGGGAUACGGUCGCAAGACUGAAACUCAAAGGAUUGACGGCUGAGACGNGCGAGACGACGACGAGGGAGAG